CGGCGAGACGGAGUGAGUAACGCGUGGGAACGUGCCCUUUGGUUCGGAACAACUCCGGGAAACUGGAGCUAAUACCGGAUAAGCCCUUCGGGGGAAAGAUUUAUCGCCAAAGGAUCGGCCCGCGUCUGAUUAGCUAGUUGGUGAGGUAAUGGCUCACCAAGGCGACGAUCAGUAGCUGGUCUGAGAGGAUGAUCAGCCACACUGGGACUGAGACACGGCCCAGACUCCUACGGGAGGCAGCAGUGGGGAAUAUUGGACAAUGGGCGCAAGCCUGAUCCAGCCAUGCCGCGUGAGUGAUGAAGGCCUUAGGGUUGUAAAGCUCUUUUGUCCGGGAAGAUAAUGACUGUACCGGAAGAAUAAGCCCCGGCUAACUUCGUG
rnacentral:rRNA from 1 species